rnacentral:rRNA from 1 species
GACGAAGGGGGCUAGCGUUGUUCGGAUUCAUUGGGCGUAAAGGGUGCGUAGGCGGCGCGGUAAGUCGGGUGUGAAAUCUCGGAGCUUAACUCCGAAACUGCAUUCGAUACUGCCGUGCUUGAGGACUGGAGAGGAGACUGGAAUUUACGGUGUAGCGGUGAAAUGCGUAGAUAUCGUAAGGAAGACCAGUGGCGAAGGCGGGUCUCUGGACAGUUCCUGACGCUGAGGCACGAAGGUCAGGGGGAGCAAACGGGG